rnacentral:tRNA from 1 species
GAGACAUUAGUAAAACCAUUACAUAACCUUGUCAAGGCUAAAUCACAGGUGAAACCCCUGUAUGUCUCA